rnacentral:rRNA from 1 species
ACGGGUGAGUAAUGCCUAGGAAUCUGCCUGGUAGUGGGGGAUAACGUUCGGAAACGGACGCUAAUACCGCAUACGUCCUACGGGAGAAAGCAGGGGACCUUCGGGCCUUGCGCUAUCAGAUGAGCCUAGGUCGGAUUAGCUAGUUGGUGAGGUAAUGGCUCACCAAGGCGACGAUCCGUAACUGGUCUGAGAGGAUGAUCAGUCACACUGGAACUGAGACACGGUCCAGACUCCUACGGGAGGCAGCAGUGGGGAAUAUUGGACAAUGGGCGAAAGCCUGAUCCAGCCAUGCCGCGUGUGUGAAGAAGGUCUUCGGAUUGUAAAGCACUUUAAGUUGGGAGGAAGGGCAUUAACCUAAUACGUUAGUGUUUUGACGUUACCGACAGAAUAAGCACCGGCUAACUCUGUGCCAGCAGCCGCGGUAAUACAGAGGGUGCAAGCGUUAAUCGGAAUUACUGGGCGUAAAGCGCGCGUAGGUGGUUUGUUAAGUUGGAUGUGAAGUCCCCGGGCUCAACCUGGGAACUGCAUUCAAAACUGACUGACUAGAGUAUGGUAGAGGGUGGUGGAAUUUCCUGUGUAGCGGU